UACAGAGGUCUCAAGCGUUGUUCGGAAUUACUGGGCGUAAAGGGUGCGCAGGCCGCGCGGGCAGUCAAAUGUGUAAUCCAGGGGCUCAACCCCUGAACUGCGCUUGAUACUUCCGCGCUCGAGCUUUGGAGAAGAGUCUGGAAUUCUCGGUGUAGCAGUGAAAUGCGUGGAUAUCAGGAGGAACACCAAUAGCGAAGGCAGCUCGCUGGGACGGUACUGACGCUGAGACGCGAAAGCGUGGGGAGCAAACAGG
rnacentral:rRNA from 1 species